rnacentral:misc_RNA from 1 species
CCGUCGCUGCCCGGGACUGAGCCAUUUCGAGAAAUUUGGGGACCGUUGAUUUAAUUUUUCUAAAUUACUUUGAUGGAAACCAAUUUAAUCGCAGUGGCUUGAACCGGGCAAAAGUCGUAACAAGGUAGCUGUAGGUGAACCUGCUGCUGGAUCAUUACUUUAUGUGAUGUUCAAAUUUGAAUUCGCAACAAAAAUAUACUGUUGUGAAACGGCUGUCGCUGGUGUCUAGGUGUUGCUGAUACAGUUGUUAACGUCCGUGGCUGUAUAUGUGGUGACAUGUUAGGACUCUUUAAUGAGUUUAAGACUUAAUGAGCCUCUUAAGUGAGGACGCCAGCACUCUUUUUUUCUCUAUAUUUUUUAAAAAAACGAAAAUUUCUAGCCUUAUCGGUGGAUCACUCGGCUCGUGGAUCGAUGAAGAACGCAGCAAACUGCGAUAAUUUGUGCGAACUGCAGAAACCUUGAGCACAAAAGUUUUGAACGCAUAUUGCAGCAUUGGGGUCAAACCCUUUGCUACGUCUGGUUCAGGGUCAUUUUCUUUUAAAGCGAAAGCUUUAAUUUAUAUAUGCUAUUGAUGCUUUAUAUUUUAAGAGGUUUGUUGUUUGUCAUAAUUUUAUAAAUAUAACUUCAAAAAUCAAGCAACUUUGAC